rnacentral:rRNA from 1 species
CCCUUAGAUGUUCUGGGCCGCACGCGCGCUACACUGAAGGGAUCAGCGUGUUUUCCCUUUCCGAGAGGAACGGGUAACCCGCUGAACCCCCUUCGUGGUAGGGAUCGGAGCUUGCAAUUGUUCUCCGUGAACCAGGAAUUCCCAGUAAGCGCAAGUCAUAAGCUUGCGUUGAUUACGUCCCUGCCCUUUGUACACACCGCCCGUCGCUACUACCGAUUGAACGUUUUAGUGAGGUAUUUGGACUGGGCCUUGGGAGAUUUCGGCCUCCCUUGUUGCUCGGAAAGACUCCCAAACUUGAGCGUUUAGAGGAAGUAAAAGUCGUAACA